UAGGGAAUAUUGCACAAUGGACGAAAGUCUGAUGCAGCGACGCCGCGUGGGUGAUGAAGGAUUUCGGUUCGUAAAGCCCUUUUGUCAGGGAAUAAAAAAAUGAAUGUACCUGAAGAAUAAGCACCGGCUAACUUCGUG
rnacentral:rRNA from 1 species